rnacentral:rRNA from 1 species
UAGGGAAUCUUCCACAAUGGACGCAAGUCUGAUGGAGCAACGCCGCGUGAGUGAAGAAGGUUUUCGGACCGUAAAGCUCUGUUGUUGGUGAAGAAGGAUAGAGGUAGUAACUGGCCUUUAUUUGACGGUAAUCAACCAGAAAGUCACGGCUAACUACGUGCCAGCAGCCGCGGUAAUACGUAGGUGGCAAGCGUUGUCCGGAUUUAUUGGGCGUAAAGCGAGCGCAGGCGGAAGAAUAAGUCUGAUGUGAAAGCCCUCGGCUUAACCGAGGAAUUGCAUCGGAAACUGUUUUCUUGAGUGCAGAAGAGGAGAGUAGAACUCCAUGUGUAGCGGUGGAAUGCGUAGAUAUAUGGAAGAAUACCAGUGGCGAAGGCGGCUCUCUGGUCUGCAAACUGACGCUGAGGCUCGAAAGCAUGGGUAGCGAACAGGAUUAGAUACCCUGGUAGUCCAUGCCGUAAACGAUGAGUGCUAAGUGUUGGGAGGCUUCCGCCUCUCAGUGCUGCAGCUAACGCAUUAAGCACUCCGCCUGGGGGAGUACGACCGCAAGGUUGAAAC